UGCCAGCAGCCGCGGUAAAACGUAGGGGACAAGCGUUGUCCGGAUUUACUGGGCGUAAAGGGCACGCAGGCGGUUUUUUAAGUCAGAUGUGAAAGGUACCGGCUCAACCGGUGACAUGCAUUUGAAACUGAAAGAUUUGAGUAUUGGAGAGGCAAGUGGAAUUCCUAGUGUAGCGGUGAAAUGCGUAGAUAUUAGGAGGAACACCGGUGGCGAAGGCGGCUUGCUGGACAAAUACUGACGCUGAGGUGCGAAAGCGUGGGGAGCAAACAGGAUUAGAUA
rnacentral:rRNA from 1 species